rnacentral:tmRNA from 1 species
GGGGGCGACCAGGUUUCGACGUGGGUUGCAAAACCUGAAGUGCAUGCCGAGCAGGAGACCGCUCGUAUAAAUGGCUCAAAUAAACAUAAAUGCAAACAAUGCAAACUUUGACGAAGUGACUGCAAUCGCUGCCUAAACCGUAGUGAAGUCAUGGAGUCUGUGCGUUGGCUAAUACCCAGCGUCCCGUUGACCUAGCCCGCUUGUCGGUUAGAAUCAGCGGUCAUAUAGACGAGCUUGCGUGGUCUGGGGCCCUUGCUGACUACGUGAAAUAAAGAGGGAUCGUUUCACCUGUUCCUGUCUGUCGGGGCAUGUGCGGCUAAAUAUAAAGACAAGACUAUGCAUGUAGAAACGAUGGCAGAGUAUUCGCGGACGCGGGUUCGAUUCCCGCCGCCUCCACCA